GCUGAAAGUAGUAGGAAAGGGAAAAGGUCAACAGGAGUCAGAGCCAGACUGGCAGCUGCCAGAGCCCCUGCUGUGGCCCGUGGGGACACCCACCCCGAGGGCUUUUGCAGCUCGGGCAUAUUGCCCGUGAUCAUCGCCACGGUCAGAUGAAACUGGAGCAGUCAGGCCACUGAAGACAGUUCCGGCUGCUUUUACUUAUUGUUACUCUCUGCCAGCAGUACGUCAUCUUUCAUGGCCCACAGACCCCCCCCUUCUUUGCAUCGUUUAAUUGCCAAAAUAAAAUACAUGGUAUUACAAAGGAAAGCAAUUAUAUUGCACAUGUUUUUUAAAUAUUGAAUAUAAAAUUCUAAGCUAAUUAUACAUAUACAUGUCUUUAUGAAAACAUCAAGUAACAAGAUUUAGAAGCGAGUCUAACAACUGUCAUGAUUUUGAAGUAGUGAUGAGUAGUAAUGAUACUUCAUCACAUAGUGUGCUAUGAUGUUAUUUGUGAUUCCUAUUGCCUUAAAGUCACAGGUUCUGUUAAUAUUACUGGAGUUCGUCGCCCACCUUCACAACAGAGGGAAAUAAUGAACUUCAGUUAAAGUCUUUCCAGAAUGACCACAUCUACAUCUGCAGAAGCUUGCUGGGACAUCCACCCCAUCCGUAUCUCUCUUAGGUACCUCUAACCCAACAGGUCUCAAAAUAAACUUACAAUAACCAGCAA